rnacentral:rRNA from 1 species
GGACCCGCACAAGCGGUGGAGCAUGUGGUUUAAUUCGAUGCAACGCGAAAAACCUUACCUACUCUUGACAUACUUGGGAGCUCUUGUAAUGAGAGUGUGCCUUAUGGAACCAAGAUACAGGUGCUGCAUGGCUGUCGUCAGCUCGUGUCGUGAGAUGUUCCGUUAAGUCGGAUAACGAGCGCAACCCUUACCCUUAUUUGCCAGCGAUUCGGUCGGGAACUAUAAGGGGACUGCCGGUGAUAAACCGGAGGAAGGUGAGGACGACGUCAAGUCAUCAUGGCCCUUACGAGUAGGGCUACACACGUGCUACAAUGGGGAAUACAGACGGACGCUAAGCCGCGAGGUGGUGCUAAUCCCAGAAACGUCUCGUAGUCCGGAUUGGAGUCUGCAACUCGACUCCAUGAAGUCGGAAUC